UUAAGUUCAGCGGGUAGUCCUACCUGAUUUGAGGCCCAGGAGUACAAAACUUGCCCGGAGGGCGAUUAGAAGCGUGCUUCACACGUCAACCCAGCGAAACUUAUUACGCCAGACGACAUUGCUAUACUCGCUAACUCCUUUAAGGCGAGCCAGACAAGCUGGCAGCACCCAGAUCCAAGCCAAUAAGAAACCCUAUUGGU
rnacentral:misc_RNA from 1 species